UGUUCUUACAAACCAUCAUUAACAUACAAGGUCAUGCUCAGUCUCCAGAAGCCUUUUCCAGAUGGUGUGAAAGUGCAAACAGCCUUUGCUACCUCGCAGGGAAAUACAUUGCAGGAAUGAGGCCCCCUCCUCUCAGAUCACCUUCAACUGAAAACGUGGUACGAGAAACUUUAGCAUCUGAGCGAGCAAUAAUCACUGGAGGAUCACCCGGCAAGCUUGAUGGAGACACACCAGCAUGCAUGUGUUGCAUGUGACGGUCAGCGAUGCAGAAGUGGCUCUCGGCACCUUUGACAAGCUCCCUGCUGCCAGGAGUGGCCGGUGGCGCUUGCCUCUGGUGCAAGUCAGAGCAGCCUGGGACCACUGUAGCUUGUAGCAGCUAACUUGGGAAAGGCAGAUGUUUAACACUCAGAUAUUGUUCUCUCAAAUGGGGGUUCAUCUGGUCCCUGCUGAAGUCAAGAGGAUUCUGCUGAAUUUGCAAAAACGUGAGGUUAAAAUCACAGGAGGAGCUUACACUGUGGCAUAUGCUUUACUGAUUACAGGAAGUUGAGCCUGCAAAAUUCAUUAUCUAAUCAGGGAAGGAUAUUUGCAGCAAAGUGUCAUCUUUUACUUUAAAAGCUCUUGUUUCUGGUGGAGAAUUAGAUGUCCCUUUCCUCCAGUGUGAUUACCAAAAGUAUUCUUAUUCCUUCCCAGCUGUGCCCCGACAGUCUUCAAAUGCUUGAA